GUUCGAACCAUGGGUGGGUGUCCUUUCUCUGAAGGAUAUCUGUUUUUCCAAUCUUUUUCUGGCAAACCUACGCUAAGAAAAUACAUGAUGCAGUGAAACUAUAAAAGAGAAAAGAAAAUCGAAGGUCUCAAGUGUUUGCAGUAGACACGUUGCACUACCCCCGUCUAACUUUUCUUGGCUUUUUCUUUGCUAUCAAGAUGUGGUGGUUCAACCGUCUUUCUUCAUUGAAAGAAUUCAUAUUGAGUUCCUUGUGUACAGUAGAUUGCUGUCUCUCAUUGACAGAUGACAGAAACACAAGUUAUACGAUGCAGUAUUCGUGUCACAUGCCCAAUAUGCAACUCGUCUUUUUUUAAACCAAAAACUAUCGAUGUGUUCUGUUGACCUGAGCAACUGUAUAUUGAUGGUAUACGGGAGACUAGGUUUCGAGCCAGCAGUAUUCUUUUUUCUCUUAAUCCCGAUUCAUUCCGGCCUGAGAAUAACUUGAAGACCACGUGAGAAGAAAUAGAAAUACAAAGGAAAGUUUUUCUCCUCGUAAAUAACGGUAUGGGGUCUCUACAUAUCAAGUUGCAUGGUACGUUAUUAGUGAUUAACAUCGAUUUUUAGAGAUGCUUAUCUUGAUCACGUUUCUGAUUGUCGGCACUAAGAAAAAAAUCGAUGUAGCUAUGAAUCGUAGAUACAUAACCUGUCAACGUGAACUUGUUUCCCGUGCUGAAAACUUGUCGGUGCAGUCCAGUUCUAUCGACCGUCGCAUACCAUACAAUCAGCUAACAAGUGGAGCGUUGAAAAAACAAAAAGAAAGAAAAACCUGCAGGGUCUUUGUACAUACGCAAACGAUACAUUAAUGAUCGUGUGGCGCUCUAUGUACAAGAACAGCGGGAGGCAGCGAUAUGUUGAGGGAGAACAAUCAGUCGUUAGGACAAUGACAAUGUUCUAGUUCCUAAAGUUAGGGAGAAAAACUUCAUUUUUCUUUUAUUAGAUACCGCAAUUGGGUAUACGGUAGCUGUACCAAUGGUUGUAUACUAAAAUUUCGGUCAAUGGGCGUGGGGAUGUGUCGUGUGAGAGAUUGGUCCCCUUUUUUAAAGAGAAAACCGCUCGACCUCUAGUGAGUAAUACUAAAGAGAAGAACAGCAGUGAGGAAGGAACCGUCAAGCUGUCAACGGUACUUUCGUUUUGCACAUUCACAUAUUCAACGGUUAAAUAAAGGGCUGAUGAAACAAAAUGAAAGGGUGAGAAAAAUUGACGUGGUGAGAAAAUAACAAUAAUUGUGUGUACAGUUUGUUAUACGGUAUCCUACAAUGGCUAGUAUUCGUCGUAGUCGCCACCGUAGCCUCCAUCUCCAUGAAAGCUAUUGAGUAGGUUUCCAACAGACUGUAUUUCAUCCUCUUCUUCUUCUUCCUCUUCCUCGUAUACAUCUUCCUGUUGGGGAGGAGGUGGCGUUGGAGAAGGCGGUUGUAGUUUCCCUUUCAGGGGCUUCGUUUCGGAUUUCAAGGCAGUGGGUCCUCUGGGCUUCACAGCCGACAAAUUUACUUUGGCUCCGCUGGUCAAACGAUAAUUAAAUUAAGAAAUGUAGAAACGAGACAUCAAUAUUCACAUUCGCAUACCCAGAUCUAGUUGACGUUGAAGAUGGCACAACGGAUUCUACUGCCGGUUCAGAAAUAACUGCCGAUGUCGACGGAACUGAAUUGGAAACGGACGAUGUUGGGGCAAAAGAAAAAUCCAAGUCCUUCAACUUUUCGUAAUUGAUCUUGUUGGAAAUCCGCUUGCCAACCAACAUUUUACCGAUCGCUUCGCCUGGAAACAGAAGAUAUUGAAUUAGCUGAGAGAAGCAAGGAAAAGAAAGAUCAAGGCGUACCUGGGGUGGCACCUGAAUAAGAUUGCGGUUGCCGCCGAGCGGCCUUACGUUUGCGCUUUUCGCCCCUUUUCUGUUUUUCUUCCUCUUCUUCCGCUCUUCUUUUCUGUUUUGCUGUUAAGAGUAAACGCGGUUAGGACAGUGAAUAAUCAAACAAAAAAAAAAAAAAAACUUUUUGCGAACCUUCUAACUCUUUCAUAAAUUCUCCAUUCAGGGCCAUCCACAUGUCACUAGUCAUCUUCGCCUCGUCCUCUGUUUUAAUAUAUGUAUCCAUCUCCGAGUCAUCAAUUCCCUCCAAAUCAAGUUCUCCCGAAUCGGAGGCAACGGCCUCCUCUUUGCUGAUCUCUUCCUUCUCCCCGGAUCCAGAAAAAAUACCAAGGCUGGCUAGUGAAGGCCCUGAAAAAAGUGUGUAAAACUAAAACAGCUCAGAUAAAUAAAAAUGUAUCGCUCAUA
rnacentral:lncRNA from 1 species